rnacentral:rRNA from 1 species
UGUCAAGUCCGAACGCGGUUAGKAGCAAUMCURACUAGAGUGGCGAACGGGUGAGUAACGCGUGGGUGACCUACCUUCGARUGGGGGAUAACGUCCCGAAAGGGACGCUAAUACCGCAYRACAUCCUGCCUUUGAACAGGUGGAGAUCAAAGCCGGGGAUCGCAAGACCCGGCGYUUGRWGAGGGGCCCGCGUCUGAUUAGCUAGUUGGUGRGGUAAYGGCYCACCAAGGCGACGAUCAGUAUCCGGCCUGAGAGGGCGGACGGACACACUGGGACUGAGACACGGCCCAGACUCCUACGGGAGGCAGCAGUGGGGAAUUGUUCRCAAUGGGCGCAAGCCUGAYGACGCAACGCCGCGUGGAGGAUGAAGGUCUUCGGAUUGUAAACUCCUGUUGCUCGGGAAGAACAGCUCCGACCUAAUACGUCGGAGUCUGACGGUACCGGGUGAGGAAGCCCCGGCUAACUCUGUGCCAGCAGCCGCGGUAAUACAGAGGGGGCAAGCGUUGUUCGGAAUUACUGGGCGUAAAGGGCGCGUAGGCGGCCUGUUAAGUCGAACGUGAAAUCCCCGGGCUCAACCCGGGAACUGCGUCCGAUACUGGCAGGCUUGAAUUCGGGAGAAGGAUGUGGAAUUCCANGUGUAGCGGUGAAAUGCGUAGAUAUCUGGAGGAACACCGGUGGCGAAGGCCG